rnacentral:lncRNA from 1 species
UUGCUCAACCCUUGAAAACCAUCAAGCACUUGCGCAAUCCAGCAGUUUGGCGCUCUGGGGUGUAUUUGAUAGUCAGCCUGAAUCACCUUGCGGAGAGUGUUGCUGCUGCUGCUCAGCAUGCUGUUAUACAUAUUUACCACGCCUCUGAACCAAUUGAAUUGCAGAGGCUCAUGUCCACACUCUCGCAGAACUGCCCAAUUGGAAGUGGAGCACUUCACCCCUAGAAUGCGCUUCAAAAAACCCAAGUGCCUGACCUGCAGAUCACUUUUGAACACUGAAUCCUGUUGCAAAA